UGGGGUAUAUUGCACAAUGGGCGCAAGCCUGAUGCAGCCAUGCCGCGUGUGUGAAGAAGGCCUUCGGGUUGUAAAGCACUUUCAGCGGGGAGGAAGGCGAUAAGGUUAAUAACCUUGUCGAUUGACGUUACCCGCAGAAGAAGCACCGGCUAACUCCGUGCCAGCAGCCGCGGUAAUACGGAGGGUGCAAGCGUUAAUCGGAAUUACUGGGCGUAAAGCGCACGCAGGCGGUUUGUUAAGUAAGAUGUGAAAUCCUCGGGCUCAACCUGGGAAUUGCAUCUGAUACUGGUAAGCGUGAGUCUCGUAGAGGGGGGUAGAAUUCCAGGUGUAGCGGUGAAAUGCGUAGAGAUCUGGAGGAAUACCGGUGGCGAAGGAGGCCCCCUGGACGAAGACUGACGCUCAGGUGCGAAAGAGUGGGGAGCAAACAGG
rnacentral:rRNA from 1 species